rnacentral:lncRNA from 1 species
ACACCCUGGAGUGUAGUUUUAACCCCCCAUCCUCAUGCCUGUGGAUACCUAGCUCAGACACAGAGCGCCUGCCCUGCGCACAGUCAAGGUCUCCCUAAUGUCUCAAAAGGUCCCAACAGGAAAUCUGUGUCUACCAGGAAACUUCCAGUUGCUCUCAGCUUCCUGUUUGUGGUCGUGAAGUGAACGCAGCUUCCUGCUCUUGCUGCCAGGCCUCUCCUUCAAGACAGACCCUUAUCUCUCUGGAACCGGUCUCGCCAUAUAGUUCUGUCGGGAGAGCAGGCUGGCCAUCAGCUUGCAGCAAUCCUCUUGUCUCUGCCUCUGGAGGACCUGGGUUACCACACUUAGCUAGAAGUCUUUAUUGGUAUGGAUGCUUCCAUCUGUGCACUGGGAGGAGAGGAGCU